GUUCAUCCAAGCACUAUUACAUCUAUAUCCACAUAUUGCGCUCUCAUAAAUUCCCUCCCCACAUUGAUAAGCUUUCAACAAAUUGUAUUAUUAUGGCAGCACCAAAGAUGUUUGAUAUGUUGUUACUAAUAAGCAUAGUGACAUACAGCAUGGUUGUGUCAACGACGGAAGCAAUAUGGUGCCUCCCGCAGCCCAAUGCGACGGAUACGGCGAUGCAGGCGGGGUUGGACUAUGCAUGCAGUCAUUUAGCUAAUUGUGGGCCCAUUCAGCCCGGAGGCAUAUGCUUCCUUCCAAACACCAUCCGUUUUCAUGCAUCCUAUGCCUAUGACAGCUACUGGAAGGCACAUGGCAAAACUAUUGAUGCCUGUAGAUUUGGUGGCACGGGCGUAAUUGUCCUCGUCGGCCGAGAUCCUAGCACCCCAACUUGCAAGUUCCCACCAUCUUAACGAUAUGGAGUGCUGGCUAGAGAGGAAAUACAUCAUCGAAAACAAAUAAGAAUAAUGAUUCAGUUCAACCUGUCGAUGAUCAUCUCUUCUUGUAUUCCAUUACAUACAUCCUUGUUAAUAAAUAAUAUAUAAUAAAUUAAUAAUACAUAUUGGUUCUCAUCGUUAGAAA